UUUUAAGAAAGCUCAGACAACUUGCCAUGGCAGUUCUGUUGCUCACUAAUGUGCUGGAAUUAAGGUUCCAACUAUAAGAUGGUAUUGAGAAAAUGUGUUACAGAACCAGGAAGAAAGUACAAACAUAUUUGAGGUGCCCUGGCUCCAUGAGGAAGGAUCACACCCUGGCAUUAAAGGAGAAUCACUUUGGGAAAAAGACAGGUUCAUUUGCCAAAUAUAGCCAAUGCCUGCAUAUUUCUGUUUUAAGGAAACAUUAUGUUACCCUUCCAUCUAAUAAGUGCUCUCUUUGGAAAGAGCCUCCA
rnacentral:sRNA from 1 species